rnacentral:rRNA from 1 species
AUGGGGGUUCACCCCGGGCUGCGGCAGCAGCUAGUAGCAAAGCAGCUGGAGUCCCCGGACUUCCGCCGGUCAACCAUCGACGGCCAAACUAGCGCCCCAACCCUCCUCAUCACCGUCGUGGUUGACAGCGCUUUCCGUGCCAGGAGCGUCGUCCAAUGGCAUGGCCUCUGCCAGGGGCCUCCGACUGGCACGUUGCCGGCGGGCUGUAUCGACGACGUGACGUCAACGUACUACUACUAUGUGGCUGAUCGUGCGUGCUCUGAACGAGACUGCACUGGAAAGUUCACCGGAGUGCAAGGAGGCGAGGCUGGACGGACUGCCGGCGGUUGCGUGCGCCAUGAAACAAACAAUCAUGUACAUCCUUCUGGGCAGGGGCCAUAUGCGUGCCCCGAAGCGCAACUCAUGGCAAACUGUCCUGUCAUUCGCCUCAAUGAAGAUAGUGCGGUCGAGCGGCUCCUCCGGUGGUCCGCCGUGACAUUGGAGGCCGCAGGCUGCUGGGUUGCUGGUAUAUGCGGGGGUAGGGACCAUGUUCUCUAUGCGUGCCCUGAAUCGCAACUCAUGGCAGAUGGCUUCGGUGGCUAG